GACGAACGCUGGCGGCGUGCUUAACACAUGCAAGUCGAACGGAAAGGCCCUGCUUUUGUGGGGUGCUCGAGUGGCGAACGGGUGAGUAACACGUGAGUAACCUGCCCUUGACUUGGGAUAACUUCAGGAAACUGGGGCUAAUAACGGAAUGGGGCCCCUGCUGCAUGGGGGGGGGUGGGAAGUUUCGGCGGUUGGGGAUGGACUCGCGGCUUAUCAGCUUGUUGGUGGGGUAGUGGCUUACCAAGGCUUUGACGGGUAGCCGGCCUGAGAGGGUGACCGGCCACAUUGGGACUGAGAUACGGCCCAGACUCCUACGGGAGGCAGCAGUGGGGAAUAUUGCACAAUGGGCGGAAGCCUGAUGCAGCAACGCCGCGUGCGGGAUGACGGCCUUCGGGUUGUAAACCGCUUUCGCCUGUGACGAAGCGUGAGUGACGGUAAUGGGUAAAGAAGCACCGGCUAACUACGUG
rnacentral:rRNA from 1 species